rnacentral:rRNA from 1 species
UACGAAGGUCCCGAGCGUUGUUCGGAAUCACUGGGCGUAAAGGGAGCGUAGGCGGCGUGGUAAGUCAGAUGUGAAAUCCCGGGGCUCAACCCCGGAACUGCAUCCGAUACUGCCAUGCUAGAGGAUUGGAGAGGUAGCUGGAAUUCACGGUGUAGCAGUGAAAUGCGUAGAUAUCGUGAGGAACACUCGUGGCGAAAGCGAGCUACUGGACAAUUCCUGACGCUGAGGCUCGAAGGCUAGGGUAGCGAACAGG